AGAUGCCACACUUCCGCUUUGUAUAAUAUCCUACCUAGAUUAAUGAGAUUAAGAUAACAACUAUUACAAACGCAAACUAACAUGUCUUGAUCAAUUUGUUUGGCAGUUUCAGAAGUCUUCUAGUUCUACUGUAUCACAGCCUCUCUUGUCUGCAUUUGAAAGUUGAGUCUCCUGAUUGGGGGGAUGGAUCCAGAUGGGAUGUGCAGCAUGGUCGCACCUCCCUUUGAGCUCUCUCAGAGCUCACUGGCAUGUUAAUGGAGUUUCUGCUGGUAGCUCCAAGGCUGAUUGCAAGCAGCUCCAGGUCCUUCUGUUGUUUGUUCUUCCACUACUCCCUGAAUUCAGCAGCAGGGGAAAAAGAAAGGAUGAGCAGCAACAGCAAAGAUGUGCAGCCCCUGCUUUGUACAUUUCUCAUUGUGGCUCUUUUGCAUGUUCGGAUGGAUGCGUUUGCUGCACAAAUGUACUGCCCCAAACUUUAUUUUCUGUCCCCAUUUGCUAUAGUCUCCUCAGUUUUUGGCUAAAACUGUAGUUCAAUAUGAAUUUCAAACCAUAAACUAGUACAUAAAACAUAAUGUCAUGUCAUGUUCAUGUGAUUCUGUGUGGUCAUCUCAAACCUGCAAUCUCUUCAUCAAGUGUUUUGUCACUUGCUUUAAGGAUUAAGCAGUACACUACUAUAAAGUUUGCAUUACAUAAAAACUGCUUAUAGUCACAGAAAAUAAGUGUUUCAUCACAAUCCCUGUUCCUGAUAUUUUAUUUCCAAUACAUGAAAAGUUGCAUCCACAUAAACUGUUCAUGAGGCUAUGAGCUGUGAAAACUUCAUAGAAACCCACAUGCCUACAUGACGCUAAACAAGUUCACUGUUUGAGAGUCAAUGUUGCAAAUAGGAGCAGUAUGCAUUUCUUAAUUCCUCUGUGGUGUUCUUGAAAAGAUCAUUUUCAUAUGCACUCACAUUGUAAUCUGAAUAUGUUGAAAACAUUGAGAGAGAUCUGAGAGAGAUUUUCUACCUAUAGUGUUACAUUGUAUCCAGGAUCCGAAAUAUGUUGCACUGCCUGUUUUAUAUAAUCUGAAUGCAGUGCAUGCUUGUGUACAGCUCCUAGCACACUAGGGCCUUGGUUCAUGAUUUAAGAUCUUAGAUUCUACAUUAAUACAAGGCAUUAGAAGUAAUCCCGUUUCCUUCAGUAAUGCAGAUUCAGUCAUGGAGGUUUGAUAAACAAUCUUUAUUGGCAGUUUAGGUACCUAUAUUUAAAAGAUAGGUCCUACAGGGAUAGAGAAUUCACUCUGACAGUAUGAGAAUGGAUCCAACAGUUUUCAGGACUGAGUCUUGACUGUACUUAGAAAUAGAGAAUAUGUUUGAAUAAUUAGACUUUUGAGAUGUAGCGCCAACAAUAUAGUAUCCUGUUGAGAAACUAGGAAUACUGCUCUGAAGUUAAAGUAUGGUUUAAUGUUAUGUUUAGACAUAAUUUAUAAAUGGCAAGCUCUCAGGGAAGAGAUGUGUGUGUACAGCGCCUAACAAAAUGAACCCUGAUUUGGAAUGAGUGCUCAUAGGGGUUACCAAAGUAUAAAUAUUGGAAACAGUAAACAAUACAUUUUGUAUUUAACAAACAUUAAUUAGCCUUAGUCUGUACCUAACUAUUUUAGCUUGGCUUUUGGUGAUAAAGAGUAAUGUAUUAGAGCUGGGACAGGAAUGGGAGGAUUAUAAAAUGUGUAACCCUCCUGCAAAGGGGUGCGGCAGAGGUGGUUCAGUGUCCCCAACAGUACCAAGGUUUAACAAGAGGGUACAAACAAGUUGAAUUUAUUUACAGCCAUAGUCAUUAGAAUACAUGUUAUAUAACCCAUGGAACCCUGCAUGGAAAUCUGAUGACAAAAUUACCCCUUUCAAAGGUGCAACUUAAAACCCCAACUCCAACAGUCUCAUAAGGACCCUGUGGGAUGAGAAUCUCCACCUUGUGUACCACCCAACCUCUUCCAGAUGGCACGAGGACUUUCACCACUUUACAAUCACUCUGACUUCACUACCUUCUGCAGCCUUUUAAGUAUGAAUUACUAGGCACAUCUACACGAGAUGUUAUGCCACCGUAGUGACGAGCUAUGGCAAUGUAUUUCAUCACUACAGUGAAGUAGCAUUGGUGGGCACAACUGUGACCAAGAAAACCGUAAGUACAGGAUCAAAGUAUAUUGAUGCUACUGUACGGAAGGGUCAGAAAUGACCCGUGCAGUGCUGGGACUGUGCAGUACCAACUGUUAAUGCGCAGUUAUUUAGUACUUGCUAAAGUGCACAAUCAUUUAGUACUUUAUGAACUACAAAUAACUGCAUAUUAAUAACUGCGCAGUCAAGUGCAUGUGUAGACGUGCUGACUCUGUAGCACCAAUCAAUUCCUCUCUCUACUGGGGUCUCCUGUGUGGGGAAGUCAAUCCUUCUCCAGCUGCUCUCAGAUCAGGCUCCUCCACAAUCUCCCUGCGGCCUCUUUCAAUGGUUCUGGGAGUAUAGCAGGGAGCAAAGCCUCUCCCAUGCUCUAACUGUGCUGGCUCUGGGCAACAUGACCCUCAUGUAGCAGCUCCUCUCUUCUACUUCCCUUCCUGCUAGCCCUCCAAGCAGCUUGUGGGGGUGGGUAGCUCAAUUCAGCUCCCUGAAUCUGGGUUUUCUGGGUUUAGAGUGACCCCACCCCUCUCUGCUUAAGCCCUCAUAGCCCAGGAGCAGCAGUUAUAAAAGGAAUUGUGCCAUCCCCAGAAAUUGGCACAAAAAGUAAAGGCGGGGGGGGGAGGAGAAUCCAACUUUUAUGUAGAAAAUCAUAGGGGUUUGGAUCACAAGCCAACAGGCCAAAAGGAGGGAACAGGUAAAGAGAUAUUAAUACUACGGUAACAUAUACUCAGGACCUUAAUUUUCCCCCCACACCUCUGGAGGUGUCCCCAGACAAGCCUUUAAUCCCUAGAGCACUCAAACAGCAGCCUGCAGCUGUCCCUAAGUCUGAGUCCAGCUCCUUCAGUUCACAGUCCUGGCUGACUAAGCCAGUGAGACCUCCAGCUCAAGCCACUGUGCACUCCUCUGUGUUGGGCUGACCAGGUUCCACAUGCAGGAUGCCCUUCUUCCCCUUCCUACAGCCUCAAGCUUCUUCUUCCUUUUUCCCUUGCCCAGCCCCACACUUAACCCCUGGGGGUUUCUGGUACUUAUAGUCCAAAUUAACAGUCAGCAUAGUUCUGUGGACUGCCCCCAGUUUCCUCCUGCUCUUAUGCACAUGCUGUUCACAUUACAGAAUGUUAGAAUUUCACUUCUAACUAUAAAUCAGGUGUUGGAGAUAUGCAAGAAGCACUUUAUUUAUACUUAGCAAAUGUAGGUAAGAGUUAUUUGAAGAAAUAAAGGAUUGUUUCUUUUGGCUAGGGACAGACAUUCAUAAAACCAGAGCUUGAAUUGAUUCAAUCUUUGCAGGUUAUUCUAACCUGCCUGGAUUGAACCAAUUUGCAAGUGAAUAGACAUUCAGGAAAUGCAUGCAGGUACAUGCCUGCAGUGGCUCAGACUAGGCAUUGGGGGACACUAGAGUAGCCCUUGACUGCAGGGAAGCUGUGCUGGGGGGGCGGGGGAGGGGGGAGGCAUGGCAAGCCCCGGCAGCAGCCUCAAGGAACUGACCAGAGAGUUUAAUGCCCUCCUCCCUGUCCCACUGGACAGGCCUGAGCCAGGUCUGCCUGGUGCUCCCCCUUCACCGCUGCAGCGGCAGGGGUGGGGUGCAGCCAGACACUGGCCAGCAUGGCCUCUUGAGGCAGAGAGGGCAGGAGGGGGGUUUAUUCCUCCCUCCACCCUCUCUGUCCCUGGGGGACCGCAGCCAGGGUCUGCCAGCCCUGACCACCGUUGAUUGCUCCCUGCACAGGGUGAGCAUCAGGAUAAGCUCCUUCCAUGUCUCCUUCACCAGAUGCUGGAGGGAGGGGGGAAUUAACCCCCCACUCUGCCCCUUGCCUAAGCAAGUCAUGCCAGCCAACCUCUGGCCACACCCCCGCCUCUACCACUGGAGCAGCAACGGGGGAGCAGCCCUGAUGGGAGCAGUAGCCCUUCUCUUGGUUUCCCAGAAGCAUAAGCCUCUUCCUGGCUGGGGGUGGGGAGAAUGUGCUGUGGCCAAGAGCUGGGGUGGGGGCAGAGCUGCUGCAGACUGCUCAGGGUGAGCAGUGGCACCCGGACAUGGAGUGGUGGUCAUAGCCCCACAAACCCUCCCUAGCACCUAUACUCAUUCUGCGCAGUUUGUGACAGCUCUGCCUUCCCUACAACACAGCCUCCUCCCCUCAGCCCCACCAGGAAAAGGCUUGCACUCCCCAGGAAACCAUGAGAGGGACUACUUCCCCCAUCACAGUCCCUGUCCCCUUGCCACUUCAGCAGCAGGGGUGUGAGCAUGGCCAGAAGCCUGCUGGCAUGGCCCCCUUAGACGUGGGGCACGGAGGGGAGUUAUUUUCCCCCUCCCUCAAGCAUCUAGUGAAGGGGACAGGGAAAGAGCUUAUUCUGCUGCUCAUCCCACAUAGGGAGCAAUUGAUGGUGGCAGAGGUGGUCAGGGCUGGUAGUCCCCGGCUAUGGUCCUGAGGGGGCAGAGAUGGAAAUAAACCCCCUUCCUGUCUCCUCUGCUUCAGGGGGCAUGCUGGCCAGUGUCUGGCCAUGCUCCCACCUCUGCUGCUUCAGUGUCAAGGAGGGAGUGCUAGGUGGACCCCAGCCUGGGUCCGAGCCAGUGGGGCAGAGAGGCAGGAAUUAAACCCCCUCCCUGGACAGUUAACUUGAGGAUACUGUCAGGGCUGACCACCCCCUCACCACUGGACCAGUGAGUGGAGAAAUGCCUGACAGGGUCUGCUGUGCCCUUGCCUGACAGACUCCACUGGGGUCUAUGCUGGUGGGACAGGGGAGGGAAUGAGAUAUAAACCUCUUCCCUGCCCCCUUCACCUUAGUGGGGAUGGCAUCUGACCAUGCCCCUGCUCCUGCCUGCCUCUGCUCCAGAUAGGGAGAAGAGGGGUGGGUCAGCCCUGCUCUGCGAGAUCAGAGAGCACAGCUAAGCCCAGGGCUGCAGAGCAUACUGGGAUGCUGGGGGUCUCUGGUUUCAGUUAAACCAGGAAGGGAUCUGGGACAGUAGUUGCAUAAACUGGUUUGAGCUCAGUCAUUUAAGUCUGAUACUAUAUUCAACCAGGUUUAUCUUAGUCAUUUUGAAAACUGGUUUAUGUUCACAGAACUUAUGUUCUGUUAAAGGUUUAAACCAAUUUCUAACCAUUUAAACCAGUUUAUGUGUAAAUUCUGUCCCUAGCUUUUGAGUUUAGUAAAGUUUCUCAAGAGAAACCAGAGAUUGCUUUCAACUGGACAGAUAAAAAUUAAAGCUUAAAUGGUGAAAGAUGUAUAUACCCUUUUCCUGUUAAAGCCUAUUGGCACUAAUUUUUAGGAAACUCAGCAUCUAUAUGUUUUUUCUUUUCAGAUUUUAAAGAAUUUUAAGAAUACAGAAUAAAGUGAUAGGACUGAGAACAAUUCACUUAAUUCUAUUUGAAACACUCAUUCUGAUAAUAUUAUUGAAAAGUAUUCAAGAAAAGGGCCAACCCACUCUGUCCUGUGUUCUGAGGAAUUGUGUAAAAAGCAGAUGUAAUUUUUUUUAUGAAUAGAUCAUAAAGAUUACUUAGUAUUGUAAUGGCCAAGAAUUUGAUUGGGCCUUUGGUUUACUCAUAUUUAAAGGUUUUCUGUAUUUUUUUUGUAGCACUGAGAUGGCAAGAGUCUGUCUUAUCAUAAUUACAUUGGAAACUUCUCAUUGGGGGAAAAACAAAUUCUUAUCUCUUCUUGAUUGAAAAUGGGAACUUUUUGCAGAGAUACUUCAUUGUUUUACUUAUGGAAAAACUAUAAAACACUGAGUUAAUUUUUGUUUUUAACUACAAAACACAUUUUUUGGGUAAUUCCUACCAUGUACUUGUCAGGACUUAGAUUUAUCAUAAUGAUAAAUAUGAGAACACUUUUCUACUAUCCCUGAAUAUUACACAUCAGAGACUAGAAAAUUGAUAAGAAAAACAUUUACUGGGUUAACUUGCAAAAAAUAUCAUCACACCCUAUAUUGUCUAAUAAUUCCAGAUAAUUAUUAGAUAAGGAUACUUUGCCUUAUUUUGCGUAUAGCGAAACUACUGGGCCAAAUCUGGGUAAGUACGUACUGAGUAAAUAUGUACAUACGUACUAGGUAAGGAAAUACUAAGUAGCACUCAUUUAGGAGAGUGGGGAGUCAAUCUCUGUAAUGUCUGGAAUUUCUCAAAGCGGAUGGUUUUUUGACUUGUAUAUUCCAUAGAUCAGUCUGAGACCACAUACAGGUGUUAAAUUUCUACUGGGUGAAUCACCACUAUCCUGGUAGCAAUUGCCACCUUACAGGCCUUUAUGCCAUUUCUCCCCAAGGAAAUGCAUCUUCCCAAUCUUCGUGGUCCCAAUCUUCAAGAAAGGAAGGAAGGAAGAUCCAGGGAAUUAUAGGCCAAUUAGUCUGACGUCCAUCCCUGGAAAGAUCUUGGAGAAAAUCAUCAUGGGAUCCAUCAGCAACAGGCUACUGGAAGGCAACCCUCUGAGUGCCAGCCAACAUGGCUUUGUUACUGGCAGGUCUUGCCUGACCAACCUUGUCUCCUCCUAUGACCAGGCAUCCCCUGUGUUGCAGCUGUAUGAGUCAUGUACCCCUCCCAAGUAAAUUGGUUCCCGGAUGAAUAAGAGUGAUUGGGAAUGAUUGAAAUACAAUGGUAGCAGGCCUCUACUGAAUGGCCUGUAACAACCGGGUCAUCACCUCGCAUUGAUUCAUCCAGGAACCAUGGACCUCACCCAGGAACAGAGACAAGAACCCAGCAUUUGAAAGACAAAAGACCCUGCAGAACCAGCAACUCUACUGUUGUACCCCACCAUUACAGACACCCGAAACUGCACAUCCCUGCAUGAAGCACACAUGCUCAGUACACUGGGGCUGACCCUUGCCUGGCCAUGCCUCCUGUCACUAAGGUCACACAAGGUCUGCCCCUAUAAAAAGGGGCAGUGAAGACAGACCCAAUGGGAUGCCUUUUCCAUUUGGACCAGCACCAUGCCACACCACCUAUCCACACAGAGGCCCUGCCAGCGACCCCGCUCUGGACACCACCUACUGGACAUGGACCCCUUUCCAGCCUGGAUAGGUAGCUAUCACCCCCCACCCCCUCUUCAACCAAGGACUUGGACUUUCCUUCUCUUCCCUACCUGGACUCCAGCCCUUCCACUGAGUCUCUUUCUCCUGCUGCCAUUGUGAGCGUGUGUGUGUGUGUGUGAGAACCAAUAACUUCAUGGGGCUGUGUAGUGUGUUGUCUGUGUAAUAAAACUGUUAUUUAGACCUCUAAA